rnacentral:ncRNA from 17 species
GGGUGCGGCGAUGAACGCCGCAGGAACUCGGAUGGUCGGGCCGCCAUCC